CCUACGGGAGGCAGCAGUGGGGAAUUUUGGACAAUGGGCGCAAGCCUGAUCCAGCCAUGCCGCGUGCGGGAAGAAGGCCUUCGGGUUGUAAACCGCUUUUGUCAGGGAAGAAAUCCUUUGAGCUAAUACCUCGGGGGGAUGACGGUACCUGAAGAAUAAGCACCGGCUAACUACGUGCCAGCAGCCGCGGUAAUACGUAGGGUGCGAGCGUUAAUCGGAAUUACUGGGCGUAAAGCGUGCGCAGGCGGUCUUGCAAGACAGGUGUGAAAUCCCCGGGCUUAACCUGGGAACUGCACUUGUGACUGCAAGGCUGGAGUACGGCAGAGGGGGAUGGAAUUCCGCGUGUAGCAGUGAAAUGCGUAGAUAUGCGGAGGAACACCGAUGGCGAAGGCAAUCCCCUGGGCCUGUACUGACGCUCAUGCACGAAAGCGUGGGGAGCAAACAGGAUUAGAUACCCUGGUAGUCCACGCCCUAAACGAUGUCAACUGGUUGUUGGACGGCUUGCUGUUCAGUAUCGAAGCUAACGCGUGAAGUUGACCGCCUGGGGAGGACGGCCGCGAGUAGUAACGUACGAAGAAGUUAGUACGGCGUGAGACGUGCCGACGGACGACGACGAGGGGAGGAGGG
rnacentral:rRNA from 1 species